rnacentral:rRNA from 1 species
UACGUAGGGUGCGAGCGUUAAUCGGAAUUACUGGGCGUAAAGCGUGCGCAGGCGGUUCGUUGUGUCGGCGGUGAAAGCCCCGGGCUCAACCUGGGAAUGGCCGUUGAAACUGGCGAACUGGAGUGUGGCAGAGGGGGGGGUGGAAUUCCGCGUGUAGCAGUGAAAUGCGUAGAGAUGCGGAGGAACACCGAUGGCGAAGGCAGCCCCCCUGGGCUGACACUGACGCUCAGGCACGAAAGCGUGGGGAGCAAACAGG